rnacentral:rRNA from 1 species
AGAGUUUGAUCCUGGCUCAGGACGAACGCUGGCGGCGGGCUUAACACAUGCAAGUCGAACGAACAGAUCACCCAAACUUCGGUUAGGUGUAAUGUUAGUGGCGAACGGGUGAGUAACACGUAGGUAACCUACCCUCGAGCGGGGGAUAACCAUUGGAAACGAUGGCUAAUACCGCAUAAAGUCCCGACAACUCCUGUUGUUGGGAUGAAAACUCCGGUGCUCGGGGAUGGACCUGCGGUGGAUUAGGCAGUUGGUGAGGUAACGGCUCACCAAACCCACGAUCCAUAGCUGGUCUGAGAGGAUGAUCAGCCACACUGGCACUGAGACACGGGCCAGACUCCUACGGGAGGCAGCAGUGAGGAAUAUUGGGCAAUGGGGGAAACCCUGACCCAGCCACGCCGCGUGCAGGAUGACACCCCUAUGGGGCGUAAACUGCUUUUAUAUGGGAAGAACCCUCUCGAUUCGUCGGGAGCUGACGGUACCAUACGAAUAAGGACCGGCUAACUCCGUGCCAGCAGCCGCGGUAAUACGGAGGGUCCAAGCGUUGUCCGGAUUUAUUGGGUGUAAAGGGUGUGUAGGCGGGCUUGUAAGUCAGAGGUGAAAUCCUACGGCUCAACCGUAGAACUGCCUUUGAUACUGCAGGUCUUGAGUCCUGGAGAGGUUGUUAGAAUUCGUGGUGUAGCGGUGAAAUGCGUAGAUAUCACGAGGAAUACCGGUUACGAAGGUUGACAACUGGACGGGUACUGACGCUGAGGCACGAAAGCGUGGGGAGCAAACAGGAUUAGAUACCCUGGUAGUCCACGCCGUAAACGAUGAUCACUCGGUGUCGCGGAGCAAUCUGCGGUGCCUAAGCUAACGCAUUAAGUGAUCCACCUGGGGAGUACGAUCGCAAGGUUGAAACUUAAAGGAAUUGAUGG